UACGUAGGGUGCGAGCGUUGUCCGGAAUUAUUGGGCGUAAAGAGCUCGUAGGCGGUUUGUCGCGUCGAAUGUGAAAACCCGGGGCUCAACCCCGGGCCUGCAUUCGAUACGGGCAGACUAGAGUUCGGUAGGGGAGUCUGGAAUUCCUGGUGUAGCGGUGAAAUGCGCAGAUAUCAGGAGGAACACCGAUGGCGAAGGCAGAUCUCUGGGCCGUAACUGACGCUGAGGAGCGAAAGCGUGGGGAGCGAACAGG
rnacentral:rRNA from 1 species